rnacentral:rRNA from 1 species
UACACUCCUGCGGGAGGCAACAGUGGGGAAUUUUGGACAAUGGGCGAAAGCCUGAUCCAGCAAUGCCGCGUGAGUGAAGAAGGCCUUCGGGUUGUAAAGCUCUUUUGUCAGGGAAGAAACGGUGAAAGCUAAUAUCUUUUGCUAAUGACGGUACCUGAAGAAUAAGCACCGGCUAACUACGUGCCAGCAGCCGCGGUAAUACGUAGGGUGCAAGCGUUAAUCGGAAUUACUGGGCGUAAAGCGUGCGCAGGCGGUUUUGUAAGUCUGAUGUGAAAUCCCCGGGCUCAACCUGGGAAUUGCAUUGGAGACUGCAAGGCUAGAAUCUGGCAGAGGGGGGUAGAAUUCCACGUGUAGCAGUGAAAUGCGUAGAUAUGUGGAGGAACACCGAUGGCGAAGGCAGCCCCCUGGGUCAAGAUUGACGCUCAUGCACGAAAGCGUGGGGAGCAAACAGGAUUAGAUACCCCGGUAGUCCC